GCGCCACCGGCCCCCCGCGCACGGGGCUGAGCCCCGCGCCGCGCUUCCGGCAGCAAGGCGGAAGCAACAGAGACGCGGGCUAGAGCGGCGGCGGCGGCAGCGCCAGAACCAUAGAGCUGGCGAGAGCCAGAGCGCCCCGUGCCGCGGGUGGGCGGAGGCGCCGCCUGGCGGCGCGGGGCGGCGCUGCGGUGGGAGCGAGGGACACACGGGCCUCCCGGGAGGCUUGGGGACCCCCGGGGACCCCCCCCCCCGCCUUGGGGCGCCCGGGGACACCGGGGACCCCUGCACACUCAUGUCCCUUGCACACCGAUGUCCCUUGCCCACCCAUGCCCCUUUGCACACCCAUGCCCCUUGCACACUAAUGCCCCUUUGCACACCCCAUAGCCCUUUGCACACUCAUGUCCCUUGCACACUCCAUGCCCCUUGCAUACCCACACUCCUUGCACACCCAUGCCCCAUGCGCGUCCCCCCCCAGCCCCCCCAGCCGUGGGACGUGGUGGCACCCGCCCCUCUCUUUUGGGGCCCCGCUCAGAGGGACCCCCGUGGGGGGGCAGGCCAGGCCCGGGGCAGCCCCACGGCGGGGGGUCCGGGGGGCCGGGCGGGGGCCCGUCGGGCACCGAGCACCCACCACAGCUCUUUCGCGCCACUGCUUUAUUGGGAGCUCCCGACCCCGCGCCGCAACGUGGCCCCGUCCCCGGGGCGCGGGGGGGCGCAUCCCCGGGACAUGACGUCCCACCCGGGGUCCCCAUCCCUGGGAUGCAGGUGGGGGGGACACGCAGCAUCCCAACGCUGGGACAUGGGGGUGCAGGGGAGAUGCGGCAUCCCACCCGUGGUCUCCAUCCCGGGGUGCAGGAGGGACACGGCACCCCCCCGUGGUCCCCAUCCCCAGGACACAGCAGUGGUCCCUGUCCCCGGGGUGCAGCUGGGACACAGCAUCCCACCUGGGUUGCCCACCCCUGGGACAUGGUAUCCUACCCGUGGUCCCCAUCCCUGGGGUGCAGGCAGGACAUGGCAUCCUCCCCCCCCCCCGGUCCCCAGGAUGCAGCAUCCACCUGGGGUCCCCAUCCCUGGGAUGCAGCAUCCCACCCGAAGUCCCCGUCCCC
rnacentral:lncRNA from 1 species